GAAUAGUGGAGAGGAUUAUAAUAAUUCGUUGAACCAGAAUGAUGUUUUGUAGUUAAAACUCGAGGGUUAUAACGAUGUUUUUGUAUAUUUGUUCCAUUUCUUAUAUCAUUGUGAAGCUAAUUGUUAACGAACUUAAUAUGUAAGCCUUUUGUGUAAGUAUUAGGUGAAUGACCUGUUGAUAUUUGAGGAGCAUUUUCUCUCACAUUGCUAAAUUAACAAUGUGGAGGUACUUUCCAAGCCUAUAUAAUAGAGGCCUCACCUUGUUAUUAAAAUAUCCCAAAAUAAGAGAAAAAUAUUAGAGAGUUAAGCAAUUAUUUUUCUCCUAUUAUA
rnacentral:lncRNA from 1 species